rnacentral:rRNA from 1 species
GUGAACGCUGGCGGUAGGCCUAACACAUGCAAGUCGAACGGCAGCACAGUAAGAGCUUGCUCUUACGGGUGGCGAGUGGCGGACGGGUGAGGAAUACAUCGGAAUCUACUUUUUCGUGGGGGAUAACGUAGGGAAACUUACGCUAAUACCGCAUACGACCUACGGGUGAAAGCAGGGGAUCUUCGGACCUUGCGCGAUUGAAUGAGCCGAUGUCGGAUUAGCCAGUUGGCGGGGUAAAGGCCCACCAAGGCGACGAUCCGUAGCUGGUCUGAGAGGAUGAUCAGCCACACUGGAACUGAGACACGGUCCAGACUCCUACGGGAGGCAGCAGUGGGGAAUAUUGGACAAUGGGCGCAAGCCUGAUCCAGCCAUACCGCGUGGGUGAAGAAGGCCUUCGGGUUGUAAAGCCCUUUUGUUGGGAAAGAAAAGCAGCAGGUUAAUACCCCGCUGUUCUGACGGUACCCAAAGAAUAAGCACUGGCUAACUUCGUG